AAAACCCCGAAAGGGGUUAGUAGAGUGGCAAACGGGUGAGUAACGCGUGGGUGACCUGCCUUCGAGCGGGGGAUAACGUUCCGAAAGGGACGCUAAUACCGCAUAACAUCCUGCCUUUGAACAGGUGGAGAUCAAAGCUGGGGAUCGCAAGACCCGGCACUUGAAGAGGGGCCCGCGUCUGAUUAGCUAGUUGGUGAGGUAACGGCUCACCAAGGCGACGAUCAGUAUCCGGCCUGAGAGGGCGGACGGACACACUGGGACUGAAACACGGCCCAGACUCCUACGGGAGGCAGCAGUGGGGAAUUGUUCGCAAUGGGCGCAAGCCUGACGACGCAACGCCGCGUGGAGGAUGAAGAUUUUCGGAUCGUAAACUCCUGUCGAAUGGGACGAAUAGGUCACGGCUUAAUACGCCGUGAUCCUGACGGUACCGUUAAAGGAAACCCCGGCUAACUCCGUGCCAGCAGCCGCGGUAAUACGGGGGGGGUAAGCGUUGUUCGGAAUUACUGGGCGUAAAGGGCUCGUAGGCGGCCAACUAAGUCAGACGUGAAAUCCCUCAGCUUAACUGGGGAACUGCGUCUGAUACUGGAUGGCUUGGAUUCGGGAGAGGAAUGCGGAAUUCCAGGUGUAGCGGUGAAAUGCGUAGAUAUCUGGAGGAACACCGGUGGCGAAGGCGGCAUUCUGGACCGAUAUUGACGCUGAGGAGCGAAAGCCAGGGGAGCAAACGGGAUUAGAUACCCCGGUAGUCCUGGCCCUAAACGAUGAAUGCUUGGUGUGGCGGGUAUCGAUCCCUGCCGUGCCGAAGCUAACGCA
rnacentral:rRNA from 1 species